GAAUCGGUAACGCCAGUUGCCGAGGAGCCAUUGUUGGGAUACCACCCUUGCAGUACUGGGUUUCUAACCAGCAGCCGUGACCCGGCUGGGGGACAAUGUCAGGUGGGGAGUUUGACUGGGGCGGUCGCCUCCGAAAGGGUAUCGGAGGCGCUCAAAGGUUCCCUCAGAAUGGUUGGAAACCAUUCGAAGAGUGCAAAGGCAGAAGGGAGCUUGACUGCGACACCGACGGGUGGAGCAGGUACGAAAGUAGGACUUAGUGAUCCGGUGGUAUUAAGUGGGAAUGCCAUCGCUCAACGGAUAAAAGCUACCCUGGGGAUAACAGGCUUAUCACUCCCAAGAGUUCACAUCGACGGAGUGGUUUGGCACCUCGAUGUCGGCUCAUCGCAUCCUGGGGCUGUAGUAGGUCCCAAGGGUUGGGCUGUUCGCCCAUUAAAGCGGUACGCGAGCUGGGUUCAGAACGUCGUGAGACAGUUCGGUCCCUAUCCGGCGUGGGCGUAGGAUAUCUGAGAGGAGCUGUCCUUAGUACGAGAGGACCGGGAUGGACGGACCGCUGGUGUACCUGUUGCAGUGCCAGCUGCAUGGCAGGGUAGCCAAGUCCGGAAGGGAUAAACGCUGAGGCAUCUAAGCGUGAAGCCCCCCUCAAGAUGAGAUAUCCCAUUCGAAAGAAGUAAGACCCCUUGAAGACGACGAGGUAGAUAGGGCAGAGGUGGAAGUGCAGUAAUGUAUGGAGCUGACUGUUACUAAUCGGUCGAGGGUUUGACCUG
rnacentral:rRNA from 1 species